AAACCGUGUUGUGGGGCAUGAACUGACGAGAUCCUUGAACUGCUCCCAACAUUAAAAGAAUGUUUCAUCUUCUUUUUAAGUGAAGUUCAAGAUUGAUUUCCUGAUGGU